rnacentral:tRNA from 1 species
GGGGAUUUAGCUCAGUGGUGUAAGUGCAUGCCUGGUAAGCAUGAGAUCAUGAGUUCAACCCCUGGUACCCC